rnacentral:misc_RNA from 1 species
GUAACCAUUGCUCAUGGAGGUGUUCUUCCUAACAUCAAUCCAAUUCUUCUGCCUAAGAAAUCUGAUAAAGUUGGAAAAGAACCUGCUAAAUCACCAUCUAAGGCUACCAAAUCACCACGAAAGGCUUAAAUUUGUGAAGAACAACACUCUACCAAAGUUGCAUGAUUUUAGGAUUUUAUGAACUUGUGUUUGGUUCAAAUAAAUCUGUUAAUGUAUGUAGGUUUGGUAUCUAAUUUCUGCUUGUUGUGUAGGGGGCUUAUAAGCCUUAGGAACAAUGUACCUGUUUUAUGUUUUGUAAAACAAAUCAUUUGCAGUUUUA